UAAAACAUCCUUGUUAGACAAGUAGAUAAAUCAUUGUAACAAAGAAGCAACAAAAGAGAAAAACAAUGAACUAUAGCUUGAUGUGUCAUGUAGUAACAAAACAAACCAGAACUGUAAGAAAUACUAUCUCACAGUGUGAUCUGUUUUUCACCUCUGUUUAGAAUGAUACAGAUUUAUAAUUCUAUAUGAUUUAGCAUUAUAGAAUUAUCAUGGAAUCGUAGAACGGUUUGAGUUGGAAGGGACCUGCAAAGGUCGUCUAGUCCAAUCCCCGUGCAUAUCCAUGUUUUACUGUUUACAUCUUGUGCUGAUGGUUCAGAAAGCUAUGACAUAUGAAACAUCCUGGAUAUACAGAAGCUACUGAAGGAGGCUUGAGAGUUCUGAAGCCCAGUAGCUUUGAACAUGUUCAAAUAUGACAGCUGGGAGGGUGGUGCAGUACUGCAAAAGCUGCCCAAAGAGCACUUCUCUAUGAAUAUUAGCACAUCAGCUGUUUGCCUUGUGCUUUCUGAUGACUGUCUCUCAUCAACACUUUUAUAGCUGCUGACACAUCUGCAAAGCAGAUACGACACUUCUUGAUUUGAUUUGGUGGCUCUAAAACCCCAUCUUGUAGAAACAGAAAAUACUCACGGGCUGACCAUGUUGUCCAAGUUUCCCUGGAGGUCCAGGAGGUCCUUGAUCUUUUUUCUCCACAUCUUCUUCUCCUGGCAUUCCUGGAGAUCCUGCGGACACACCCUCUCCUGCCUGACCUCUCUGGACCUGUACAAUACAAUGUGAAGAAUGAAAAAUGUGUUGCAUUGCUU